GGAUGUGAGGACAAUCUGGCUGCAAUAUCUCUUACCCCAUUGAUCACCAAGGUUGAUUUGGCUGAUCUAGCUGGCUAAGCUUCCUCCUUCACCACUUCAUGUGCCUCCCUCCCAAAGAUGCAUUCUCAGUUAAGGACAGCCUUCUCUGAAAGAAGAGGACCAUUCUUUGGACAAGGGUAUGAGUAGAUGUUGACUCCUGCAAGAACCUCCAAACAAACUCUCAAGGUCCAUUUGUAGGAGAAUGUAAGCUUCUAAGACUCCAGACACAUGCAAAUGAGGUGUUGCUGCAUGUAGCAGUUUGUUUUUCUUA
rnacentral:snRNA from 1 species